GGGCUUGACAUCCCACGAACCUGCCCGAAAAGGUGGGGUGCCCGCAAGGGAGCGUGGAGACAGGUGGUGCAUGGCUGUCGUCAGCUCGUGUCGUGAGAUGUUGGGUUAAGUCCCGCAACGAGCGCAACCCUCACCCCUAGUUGCCACCGGGUUAAGCCGAGCACUCAAGGGGAACUGCCAGCGUCAAGCUGGAGGAAGGCGGGGAUGACGUCAAGUCAUCAUGCCCCUUACGCCCUGGGCUACACACGUGCUACAAUGGCCAGUACAAAGGGACGCGAGACUGCGAAGUGGAGCUAAUCCCAAAAAGCUAGUCUAAGUUCAGAUUGCAGUCUGCAACUCGACUGCAUGAAGGAGGAAUCGCUAGUAAUCGCGCAUCAGCCCGGCGCGGUGAAUACGUUCCCGGGCCUUGUACACACCGCCCGUCACACCACGAAAGCUGUCUGUACUCGAAGUCGCUGAG
rnacentral:rRNA from 1 species